GGGCCUGUAGCUCAGCUUGGAUAGAGCGGUAGCCUUCUAAGCUAAAGGUCGAGGGUUCGAAUCCCUCCAGGCCCG
rnacentral:tRNA from 1 species